GGAAGGGCUGGAGUUGAGAGGGUGGCAGGAGUGUCAUAGCACUUGUUUCAGGUAAAGCUUCCUGGUGGGUCUGAGUAGUGAGGACGUGCGUAGGUAUGUCCUGGCGCUUGACGUGAUGUUUUCUUUCUUCUCUGCUUUUUAGUUCCUGAAGCACUGUGGAUGAGACACCAUUGUGGACCCUGGAAAGAAGCACCUCGCUUGUGCCACAAUACCUUCAUUAAUCGGAAACUGGGCAUUGUUUGAGGAAGACCUGCUACUGUCCCUGAGAAGAAGGCUGAGGAUCCAGCCACACCAAGCAGUCUAGGGCAGAUUGAUGCUGGAAAUUUCCCCUGCGGAGAGGAUCAGCAGCUGACCACUUUGCCAGUAGCUGAGGCCUGAGCUUCCAGAGCCUGGAUGCCCAGGGGAAGCUGAGGAAGAGGUUGCUGCAGGUAGAGGGUAGAGCCAAGGAGGACUGGGCUUGAGCCCAGGAGCAGCAGAGACAAGAAGGGAGAACCUGAGGCACGGAGGGGAAACUCACAGCGGGAACGAGAGGCAGCAGUCCGGCCACCCUUCCCAUGGCCUCUAAGCAGGCUGCCGUGAAGGGCAGGGUCGGGAAGCGGAAGCGGGUGGUGCUGACGCUGAAGGAGAAGAUUGACAUCUGCACACGCCUGGAGCGGGGCGAGAGCAGAAAGGCGCUGAUGCAGGAGUACAACGUGGGCAUGUCCACCCUGUAUGACAUCAAGGCCCACAAGGCCCAGCUGCUCCGGUUCUUCGCCAAUUCUGACUCCAACCAGGCGCUGGAGCAGCGGCGCACGCUGCACACACCCAAGCUGGAGCACCUGGAUCGGGUGUUGUAUGAGUGGUUCCUGGUGAAGCGUGCCGAGGGCGUCCCCGUGUCAGGCCCCAUGCUCAUCGAGAAGGCCAAGGACUUCUACGAGCAGAUGCGGCUGACCGAGCCCUGUGUGUUCUCUGGAGGGUGGCUUUGGCGUUUUAAGGCCAGGCAUGGCAUUAAAAAGCUAGAUGCAUCCAGUGAGAAGCAGGUAGCUGACCACCAGGCAGCGGAGCAGUUCUGCGGCUUCUUUAGGAGCUUGACCACUGAGCACGGGCUCUCUCCUGAGCAGGUGUACAGUGCCGAUGAGACCGGUCUUUUCUGGAGGUGCUUGCCAAGUCCCAGCCCAGAUGGUGGGACUAUGCCCAGCCUCAAGCAGGGCAAGGACAGACUGACUGUCCUGAUGUGUGCCAAUGCCACAGGUUCCCAUAGAAUCAAGCCCUUGGCCAUCGGGAAAUGCCGUGGCCCCAGGGCUUUCACAGGCAUCCAGCACCUGCCCGUCGCCUACAAGGCCCAGGGUAAUGCCUGGGUGGACAAGGAGAUCUUCUCAGAUUGGUUCCACCGCAUCUUUGUCCCCUCGGUCAGAGAACACUUUAGAACCAUAGGUCUGCCGGCAGACAGCAAGGCCAUCCUGUUGCUGGACGACUCCAGGGCCCACCCACAGGAGGCUGCGUUGGCAUCUGAUAACAUCUUCACCAUCUUCUUGCCUGCCAGUGUGACAUCGUUGAUCCAGCCCAUGGAGCAGGGCAUCCGAAGAGACUUCAUGAGGCACUUCAUCAACCCCCCUGGGAGCCUGCAGGGCUUCCACCCGCGGUACAGCAUGAACGAUGCCAUACUCAGCGUGGCCUGUGCUUGGAACGCUGUGCCCAGCCAUGUCUUCAGGAGGGCCUGGAGGAAGCUGUGGCCUGCUGUCAUGUUUGCAGAAGGCUCUUCCGAGGGCGAGGAGGACGAAGAGGCCGAGCCUUGCAGUACCAAGCCUCAUAACAAGACUUUGGCCCACAUCCUCGAGCUCGUGAGGGAGGGCCCCUUCUGCCCAGGCCACAGGCUUCCGCCCAGUGCAGGGAGGGAGGUGGAGGAGGCACCCACUGCUAUGCUGCCGGCUGAGGCUGACCGGAAUGCAGACCGGGUGGAGAGAGACGCUGGGGAGGACUCUGCGGCCGAGGUGGCCUGGGAGCAGGCGGCCGCAGCCUUUGAGGCACUUGUGCACUUCGCGGAGCAGCAGCCCUGCUUCAGCACACAGGAGGUGGGGCAGCUGCAUGCACUGCACUCUGCCUUCAGGAGGCGGCUGCAGCUGAGGCAGCAGCCCGUCGCCCUGAGGGCCAUGGUGAAGCUUGAGGCCCGCCAGGAUCACCCGGGUAGGUGCAGGGCCACAGCCCACUCCCCCCUGCCCUGCUCAUCCACAGCCAGUGAUAACUGAUGGCUGUCAUCACACCCAUUUGACCCCUAGGACAUGGGGUCAGUCCUGGGACACAGACUGCCCGCUGGGCGGGAGAGCACGCUCAGAGAGAGCUUAAGCGCUCCCCCAGGGGGUGGUGCCCCCAGCACAUUGUCUCCAUUACUCAGAAGGACCCAGGCCUGUGUGUUUUGGCUGAUUGCAGUUUACCUGUGUCGUUUGCUACGUCCUGUGAAUGGGAGGAGACCCUCUGGAGAGUCCAUGCUACCUUAAGCACACCCAAGCCUCCUCUAUUGAAACUGGGGGCCAGGCUGGGUGAAUCCCGAAUCUUCUGUGGCCUGGCAAACCUUGCUGUGUUGGAUAGAGGUGUGUCUGUCCUGGCAGAGAAGAGCACUGUGCUAGCCCACAGGGGCAGCGCCUCCUGCCCCAGGGAGGCUGGGUAGGCUGAGCUGGCAGUAGUUCAUGUGCUGGGUGGACCCCAAGUCGAGUGUGAGGGCAGGGACUCAGUUCAUGACCUCAAGUGCCCUCAGGCCACACAUCUCCCCAUUGGCACAUGCCUGCUUCAGCCACAGUCAUGCUCAGCAGAAGAGCUCUGUAGUGUCCCCUGUGGCCUGCAGACCCUGCCCUUCAGGCCCAGGCAGGCCCUCUGGUCACCCUCAGGGACCCUGGACUGUUGUUUUUAGCAUUUGGCUCAGAGACCACUACAAAGUCUGUAUUCCAUGCUCCCAGACUUUCAGUUAGAGCCCCUAACUGAAGAAGUCGCCAUCAGGAGUUCAGAGUCUAGUCUUAGGUCUGCACACGGCCACUGAGGACAGUGACACAGGCCCCAGCAGCGUGGAAGCUUUCGUCCUUGCUGUUUCCAGGGCAGCGAUGCUCUGGGGGAAGGCCUGUCUGUACCAGUGGGUGUUGGGAGGCCGACCCUAGGACGUGGUCAUUUCCUCGGCCUUAGUAGCCCUCUGUGGCUUUACCUCUAGCAGCACCAUGCUUCCUGGCUGUGACUCCAGAGGCCCUGUCCACCGCGUUAGCUGCGUUGUGGCCGUGAAAUGGGUGUUUUUCCGAGCUCACUCCUUUGCCCUUGAGCUCCAUUCCUUCUUGGAUUCGCAUCCUGGCAGCUGAAUUGGCACGAGGUUUCAUUCCCCUGCUCGUCAGGUACUCCAUCAAGAGACGCGCUGCUGGGAUCCUGAGAGCCAAGGGACUUACAGGGAGGUUUGUGGUUCUAGUCUGUCCAGACGCUGAGGCCGUAGUGAUGUUGAUAUAGCGCUGUGUUGUAGAAUGUGUGUUUCUUUGAAGCAUGUGGGAAGAUCAUAAAAACCAGAUAGUUUUUGAAGUUUUGUUGCGGAUUCUUGGGGCUCUGUGGCCUUGUGUUGUGUUGCCGUCGUGCUCUGCUUCGUGCCUGUGCGUCUGCGUCAUGCCGUUGCUGGCUCACAGCAGGGAUUGCAGCUGCCUGGGGUUCUGCAGGGUGGAGGGCGGGCGUCACACCUGUUGCUGGCAGAGCCAAAUGUUGGACCUACCAAGCGGAUGUGCACCCUGCUGGCAGCCCUCCCCGACCCCACAGAUGAUCUGUGCUCAUCAGACUCUACGAUCCAGAACCAUCUCACCCUCACAACUGCUCCUGUCCUGUCUGGGUGCUGUGUGGCCACAGGGCACCCCUCCUUCCAGAACAGCUCCAGGGACAAGCCCCCUUCGGGCUGAACCUGUACUCUCUCUUCCUGUCCUCUGCUCUCCCUUCCUGUCCUCUGCUCUCCCUUCCUGUCCUCUGCAGGCUUUUGGCAGCUUCCUUGUGGGCUUGUCACUGGAGAGUUGCAGACUCCACAAGAGAAGGCCUGAGGCGAGUGCUGUGCAGAGGCACAGGUCUACUGCCCGCCUCUGAGUGCCAGGUCCAGGUUCCAUGCUCCCUGAAGAGCCCUGUGCUCUCUGGACAGCUGCAACCAGCCUCUCCAGAAGUCAUGUGGCCCAGCAGCUUAGCCUCAGCACCUUUCCCAAACAGUUCUGGGUGGACUCACCAUGCCCAACUUUACACCUGAGCUGGUGGGAACACGUCUUCCCCUUCCCUUUCCCCAAGUGGUCUGCAGAGCACUGUGAUCUCUGUCCCAUUUAAGUGCCUUCCCCUUCUGACCUGGGAACCUUGGCCAAGUCCACCCCUGCGGGUCGAGAGGGCUGGUGGGCACUGCAGUCCAGUCAGGACCCCGGCUGCUCCAGUCCCCUGGCCACGGGUUUUCUCCCCUUGCUGACCUUUGGCUCCCCUGAGUGCAGGACCUGGUGUGCUUGCACUCCUCUGUCCUACCCCAGUGAGAGGGCUCUAGGGGCAGCUUCCCACCCUGGGCCGCCUG
rnacentral:lncRNA from 1 species